rnacentral:rRNA from 1 species
AUUGAACGCUGGCGGCAUGCUUUACACAUGCAAGUCGAACGGUAACAGGGUGCUUGCACCGCUGACGAGUGGCGAACGGGUGAGUAAUGCGUCGGAACGUGCCGAGUAGUGGGGGAUAACGCAGCGAAAGUUGUGCUAAUACCGCAUACGUACUGAGGUAGAAAGUGGGGGACCUUCGGGCCUCACGCUAUUCGAGCGGCCGACGUCUGAUUAGCUAGUAGGUGAGGUAAAGGCUCCCCUAGGCGACGAUCAGUAGCGGGUCUGAGAGGAUGAUCCGCCACACUGGGACUGAGACACGGCCCAGACUCCUACGGGAGGCAGCAGUGGGGAAUUUUGGACAAUGGGCGAAAGCCUGAUCCAGCCACGCCGCGUGUCUGAAGAAGGCCUUCGGGUUGUAAAGGACUUUUGUCAGGGAGGAAAUCCCUAGUGCUAAUAACACUGGGGGAUGACAGUACCUGAAGAAUAAGCACCGGCUAACUACGUGCCAGCCGCCGCGGUAA